rnacentral:rRNA from 1 species
AUUGAACGCUGGCGGCAGGCCUAACACAUGCAAGUCGAGCGGAGCGGCGGACGGGUGAGUAAUGCCUAGGAAUCUGCCUGGUAGUGGGGGAUAACGUCCGGAAACGGGCGCUAAUACCGCCUACUACCAGAUGACCUUAGGUCGGUUUAGCUAGUUGGGGGGGUAAAGUCCUACAAAGGCGACGAUCCGUAACUGGUCUGAGAGGAUGAUCAGUCACACUGGAACUGAGACACGGUCCAGACUCCUACGGGAGGCAGCAGUGGGGAAUAUUGGACAAUGGGCGAAAGCCUGAUCCAGCCAUGCCGCGUGUGUGAAGAAGGUCUUCGGAUUGUAAAGCACUUUAAGUUGGGAGGCGUUACCAACAGAAUAAGCACCGGCUAACUUCGUGCCAGCAGCCGCGGUAAUAC